UCAUCUGACCAUUAGUACUUUAAAUAUACCAGGAGAAAUAUUGAUACAAAUGAGUGGGAGAUUGGGUCUUCUCAACUUUGCCUCUCUUCCAUGGAAGCCACAAGCAAGGUAAGCGGCUUUAGACUCAAGAAAGAGAUUAUGCUGGUAAAGUGUUCUAGGCAUUCAUAAUCCAUUUCAACGAAAUCUUGUAACAUCGUUUCUGGGUUCACCACAAAUGCAACGAUUAUGGUGCUUAUAUAGAUCAUUCUCGGGUAUUUUUGUUCUUAGAGACUGAGUAUGACACAGGUCUAUUUCACAUUGAGUAUUGCCAAUAAAUCUAUCAAGGUAAUUUUAAAAUUCUCUGCCUCAGCCGUUCUGGAUCUCGCGCCUCUCAUUUUGCUUUCCAUUCGCUCUGCUUCGUCCUAGGCUUAUUGUUGGCAAGAUUGAUCAUCGGAGCUUACGACCAUGCCGCUUUUAGGCUCCAAGGUUUAAAGGCGAUUGUCAAAGGCGUUUGGGGGCCACCGUUUUCCCCACAACAUCCGACUCGGAGCGACCAGUUUUUUUUUAAAUCCUGAUUACCUUUCUCUUUUACUUUCAGCUGAGCGAGAUUUGCAUGAACUGAACCUGGAAAUUAAGGUCUGAGAACCUUUACAAUCCGAUAAUUCAGUAUUGUUUAUAGUUUAAGCUCUAUAAUUGUAAUGGUUUAUGCUGAAUUUUACUGUUUUUGUUUUUCUGAUGAUCCUUGCCUUGUAUAGGACAUUCAAACGAACCUACUAACCUGAUUUGGAUCCACCUUGUAAUCCUAACUUUGCUUCAAUUAGCUUCUGAUUACAGGGUCGUAGUAGUAUUGAAGUGGCUGUGAUUAGAAUCUGUUUUGGUCUAAGAUCGGUUCUUCUAUUGGUGCCGUGCUGCGUGUAGAUUGCUCUUAAUGUGAUAACAUUGGUGGUUCUUGUCGUAACUCUGUAGAGACGCAGAUUUGGUCAGAAGAAUCGUAACUGCAACUGAACUUGGAGUAAGGGCGAGUGGAGUUCUCUGGGCGUUUGCUUCCUACGAGGCUGUCUACAGAGAUCCCAGAUGGGAACGAAGCUAUGACAGUUAUGGUUAAGAUGGUGGACUUGUCUGUGAGGUCAGCUCGCUUGUUUCGGGAGUAAAAGGCGUCCCACCCGAAGAACACCCAAACGGUUACCAUUUUGUUGCAGGUGGGUAUGUAUAUGGCUUCAUAUGUGUCUUUUAACAGCUAUGAUUUCAUUUCUCGUGGAUUAGUUCACUACUUGUGAUAGAAACAAUGUGAUCGCAUGUGCAAAACACUUUGUUCGAAAUGAUGGUACCAAGAAGUAGACCUACCACCAGUAGAGUCAGCCGGAGAAGAUAAUGAUUCUUUGAGGGGAAGAUACAUCAAAAGAUUUAAUGCUGUUAUCGUAUAUCAGAGUUGUAUGAUUGUUGACCGUAUCGACUUUCUCGCCUUCAUUUUCUCCAUCUCAAGUCUUAGAGCUGGAUCCAUCCCUAUACGUCCAAUUUUUAAUAUCUUUUGAUUUUUGAUCCCUAUGUAUAAGUUUUUGUUUACAAUCUUUAUCUUCUCACGCUAGGUGCUUCUUCCACCAGCCGAUUUGCGGUGUCCACUACUGCCACUCCUUGGUAUGUAUAUGGCUUUCCCAAUAUUCAUUAAGCUGAAAAAGUAAAGUUAUGUGCCUGGCAAGGCAUCUGUGGUGAUUGGAGAAACUAUCAACGUUUUCUUGGUUAUUCUUUGUUUUAGAUUUGGAAAUUAGAUGUUUGGUUGUUCUGACCUGGUUUACGAUUGUGUGAUACUGUACAUAUUUAUCUUACUGUAAAUCAUUUACCUUA